GAAGGUUGUUAGAGGACACCUAAGGCUUUGUCAAAUCUUGCUUCCUAAUUGUGGGGCUACAUGGUGGUGCUUAGAGUGGGAUAAGUGGAAAGAGGCCUAGUGCUUACUUAAAAGAGCUGUGGUAUAGACUGAUUGCUCACACCAACAAAAUAAACAAACCUACGCAAUGUUUAUAAAACUAUGUAGUUCAGAAUUCAAGGAAGUUGUCCAAAUUUCAAGACCCAGACAGUUAAGCUCAGGAGCUUAACUUACAAAGCCAAGAAAGAAUUUAAAAAUCACGUCAAAUCCAGAAACAGGAGGAAGAAAAAAAGCUGGUGUUAUCAUUUACAGACAAAUUCUAACAGAGGAGCAGGCCAUAAAAGCUUGGGAAAAAACAUUUUAAAGUGUCCAGCUGCCUCUGGUUUAUGUGAAGAAAGAAGAUGAAAAAUGAGAAGGCAGGAUCGGUAACCACUUUACCUACAAUGGUUAGAGAAGGCGAGAAUUGGAAUCUGAAUGCUAAGAAGAGGCAGCUAAGAGAAGAUCUGAAAAUCAAACAUUUCUAACAGAAGGCACAGAAAGGGUUCCCAGGAAUCUCAAGAAGUAUCAAAGAACUGAGACUUACCAGAUCACCACACCCAGAUAAUGAGUUGCCGACCCCUCAUUCAUCGUGACUGCUUCCUUGCCCCUUCCCAGUUCCUGCUUUCUUAUACAUUGUUACGUUUCUUCCCUGCUGUCUAAACUCUUACUUUUGGUGGGUCAGGAGAUGGAUUAGAGACUGAUCUCCCAUCUCCUGGGCUGCAGCACCCGAUUAAAGCCUUCUUCCUUGGCAA